rnacentral:rRNA from 1 species
CAGAUUGAACGCUGGCGGCAGGCCUAACACAUGCAAGUCGAGCGGUAACAGAGAGAAAGCUUGCUUUCUUUGCUGACGAGCGGCGGACGGGUGAGUAAUGCCUGGGAAUAUGCCUUGAUGUGGGGGAUAACCAUUGGAAACGAUGGCUAAUACCGCAUAAUGCCUACGGGCCAAAGAGGGGGAUCUUCGGACCUCUCGCGUCAAGAUUAGCCCAGGUGGGAUUAGCUAGUUGGUGAGGUAAUGGCUCACCAAGGCGACGAUCCCUAGCUGGUCUGAGAGGAUGAUCAGCCACACUGGAACUGAGACACGGUCCAGACUCCUACGGGAGGCAGCAGUGGGGAAUAUUGCACAAUGGGCGCAAGCCUGAUGCAGCCAUGCCGCGUGUGUGAAGAAGGCCUUCGGGUUGUAAAGCACUUUCAGUCGUGAGGAAGGUAGUUGCGUUAAUAGCGUAAUUAUUUGACGUUAGCGACAGAAGAAGCACCGGCUAACUCCGUGCCAGCAGCCGCGGUAAUACGGAGGGUGCGAGCGUUAAUCGGAAUUACUGGGCGUAAAGCGCAUGCAGGUGGUUUGUUAAGUCAGAUGUGAAAGCCCGGGGCUCAACCUCGGAAUUGCAUUUGAAACUGGCAGACUAGAGUACUGUAGAGGGGGGUAGAAUUUCAGGUGUAGCG